rnacentral:rRNA from 1 species
GACGAACGCUGGCGGCGUGCUUAACACAUGCAAGUCGAACGGAGUGGCGAACGGGUGAGUAACACGGGGGUGAUCUUCCUUGCACUUCGGGAUAAGCUUGGGAAACUGGUUCUAAUACCGGAUAGUGCAAGAUGAGCUCGCGGCCUAUCGGCUUGUUGGUGGGGUAAUGGCCUACCAAGGCGUCGACGGGUAGCCGGCCUGAGAGGGUGUACGGCGACAUUGGGACUGAGAUACGGCCCAGAAUCCUACGGGAGGCAGCAGUGGGGAAUAUUGCACAAUGGGCGGAAGUGUGAUGAAGCGACGCUGCGUGGGUGAUGAAGGCUUUCGGGUUGUAAACUCCUUUCGACAGGGACGCGGUACCUGUAUAAGAAGCACCGGCUAACUACGUGCCAGCAGCCGCGGUAAUUC